rnacentral:rRNA from 1 species
AACAAACGCUGGCGGCGUGCCUAAUACAUGCAAGUCGAACGGGGAAAGCUUUCGGGUGCGUCCUUGUGGCGCACGGGUGAGGAACGCGUGGCUAAUCUGCCUUAGAGCGGGGGAUAACUAGUCGAAAGAUUAGCUAAUACCGCAUAAGACCACGAGAGCUGCGGCUUUUGAGGCCAAAGGUUUUUCGCUUUAAGAUGAGUCCGCGUAAGAUUAGCUAGUUGGUGUGGUAACGGCUCACCAAGGCGACGAUCUUUAACUGGUCUGAGAGGAUGAUCAGUCACACUGGAACUGAGACACGGUCCAGACUCCUACGGGAGGCAGCAGUAGGGAAUAUUGCACAAUGGAGGAAACUCUGAUGCAGCGACGCCGCGUGAGUGAUGAAGGCCUUCGGGUCGUAAAGCUCUGUCGCAGGGGAAUAACACAAUGAAGGUACCCUGUAAGAAAGGAUCGGCUAACUUCGUG